CCCUCCCUCCAGAGGCAGGUGGACCCUUUGGCAUUUCCAGGGCAGCCUCUGCUCCGCCCCAGGCGCGCUGGGUGGCCAAAGAAAGCCCCCCUCAGCUUUUUCUCUACUGUCUCCUCGGUGUGGUGAAGGGAAAAGACCAGCCAUGCAGCCAGCUCAGCUCCAGGGGCCUGAGAGAAGCUGCUCUUAUCUAAAGCCUGUUCCAGCGGCUUUGAAACUCCAACCGUCCACUCUCCCUGUCUGUUCUCAGGAGAUUUAUGAGGGGAGGGGAGGGGGGAGAGGACGUAUGUGUGAGUGCUUUAGCCUAACUUAUAAUUCCUAACAAGGAUCUAAUGUACAGCCAGACGACUUUGAACUUCUGUAAUCCUAUGGGCCUAAAGGUAUAAGGUAUUCCCCAAGAAAUACCUUAUAUUUUUGCCAAACCACAAAUAAAUUCUUUCUAAGAUAAUGAUGAAGAAACAUCGAAUCCAUUUUAUGUUUUUCAUACCAUAAAUAUGCAUGCCAUCCAAACAACUUGUCAUGUCCCUCCAAUACCAAUACUUUGUGCUUGGACAAUUUAAUCCAGUCUCUCAACCAAGUUAAACAUAUUGCCUCAUGGUAUAAUUGUAGGCUGGAGUAGACAUGCCACACAGCCUCCAUUAAUUGCUCUUUACAUUUCUACCUUCCUGGUCUCCUGGUCAGUUGGCAUGCCACAUGGGAAGACUCAGGGAGUAGUUUAAAUGUGUAGCCAUAUUUGCUUAGUUGGCUGCAACUGGUUUGGAAUGUGUAACUGUUGCUACAAUUGUUGCUAUAGACAGCUUCUUAAUAAAACUCUCGCCUCCA